AUACGGGGGGUGCAAGCGUUGUCCGGAAUCAUUGGGCGUAAAGGGCGCGCAGGCGGUUUGGUAAGUCAGAUGUGAAAGCCCAUGGCUCAACCAUGGAAGUGCAUUUGAAACUGUCAGACUUGAGUACUAGAGGGGAAAGUGGAAUUCCCGGUGUAGAGGUGAAAUUCGUAGAUAUCGGGAGGAAUACCGGUGGCGAAGGCGACUUUCUGGCUAGAUACUGACGCUGAGUCGCGAAAGCGUGGGGAGCAAACAGGAUUAGAAACCCUAGUAGUCC
rnacentral:rRNA from 1 species